UACGUAGGUGGCAAGCGUUGUCCGGAUUUACUGGGCGUAAAGCGCGUGUAGGCGGUUAUCCAAGUCGGGUGUGAAAGCCUUGAGCUUAACUCAAGAAAUGCACUCGGUACUGGGUGACUAGAGGACCGGAGAGGAUAGUGGAAUUCCCAGUGUAGUGGUGAAAUACGUAGAGAUUGGGAAGAACACCAGUGGCGAAGGCGGCUAUCUGGACGGUUUCUGACGCUAAGACGCGAAAGCGUGGGGAGCAAACAGG
rnacentral:rRNA from 1 species